rnacentral:rRNA from 1 species
GAGGGAACGUGGGGAAGUGAAACAUCUCAGUACCCACAGGAAGAGAAAACAAAAGUGAUUCCGUUAGUAGUGGCGAGCGAACGCGGACCAGGCCAGUGCCUGAUGUUUAGUUAGCAGAACGGUUUGGAAAGGCCGACCAUAGCGGGUGACAGUCCCGUAUGCGAAAGCAAGACAUCAGGACUUGAGUAGGGCGGGACACGUGUAAUCCUGUCUGAACAUAGGGGGACCACCCUCUAAGCCUAAAUACUCGUGCAUGACCGAUAGUGAACAAGUACCGUGAGGGAAAGGUGA